GAAGCGGCAACAGCUCAAAUUUGAAAUCUGGCGCAAGCCCGAGUUGUAAUUUGUAGAGGAUGCUUCUGGGUAGCGGCCGGUCUAAGUUCCUUGGAACAGGACGUCAUAGAGGGUGAGAAUCCCGUAUGUGACUGGCUUGCACCCUCCACGUAGCUCCUUCGACGAGUCGAGUUGUUUGGGAAUGCAGCUCUAAAUGGGAGGUAAAUUUCUUCUAAAGCUAAAUACCGGCCAGAGACCGAUAGCGCACAAGUAGAGUGAUCGAAAGAUGAAAAGCACUUUGGAAAGAGAGUUAAAAAGCACGUGAAAUUGUUGAAAGGGAAGCGCCCGCAACCAGACUUUGCGGCAGUGUUCGGCCGGUCUUCUGACCGGUUUACUCGCUGUCGUGAGGCCAUCAUCGUCUGGGACCGCUGGAUAAGACCUUAGGAAUGUAGCUUCCCUCGGGAAGUGUUAUAGCCUCUGGUGAUGCAGCGCGUCUCGGGCGAGGUCCGCGCUUCGGCAAGGAUGAUGGCGUAAUGGUUGUCGGCGGCCCGUCUUGAAACACGGACCAAGGAGUCUAACAUCUAUGCGAGUGUUCGGGUGUCAAACCCCUACGCGUAAUGAAAGUGAACGGAGGUGGGAACUUUUUGUGCACCAUCGACCGAUCCUGAUGUCCUCGGAUGGAUUUGAGUAAGAGCAUAGCUGUUGGGACCCGAAAGAUGGUGAACUAUGCCUGAAUAGGGUGAAGCCAGAGGAAACUCUGGUGGA
rnacentral:rRNA from 1 species